CCUACGGGUGGCAGCAGUGGGGAAUAUUGGACAAUGGGGGGAACCCUGAUCCAGCGACGCCGCGUGAAGGAUGACGGCCCUACGGGUUGUAAACUUCUUUUGUCAGGGAGCAAUUGGGUCCACGCGUGGGCUUAGCGAGAGUACCGGAAGAAAAAGCAUCGGCUAACUCCGUGCCAGCAGCCGCGGUAAUACGGAGGAUGCGAGCGUUAUCCGGAUUUAUUGGGUUUAAAGGGUGCGUAGGCGGAGUAUCAAGUCAGCGGUAAAAAUUCGGGGCUCAACCCCGUCGUGCCGUUGAAACUGGUGUUCUUGAGUGGGCGAGAAGUAUGCGGGAUGCGUGGUGUAGCGGUGAAAUGCAUAGAUAACACGCAGAACUCCGAUUGCGAAGGCAGGAGACCGGCGCCCAACUGACGCUGAAGCACGAAAGCGGGGGUAUCGAACAGGAUUAGAUACCCGUGUAGUC
rnacentral:rRNA from 1 species